UACGUAGGGUGCGAGCGUUGUCCGGAAUUAUUGGGCGUAAAGGGCUCGUAGGCGGUCUGUCGCGUCGGGAGUGAAAACUCAGGGCUUAACCCUGAGCCUGCUUCCGAUACGGGCAGACUAGAGGUAUGCAGGGGAGAACGGAAUUCCUGGUGUAGCGGUGAAAUGCGCAGAUAUCAGGAGGAACACCGAUGGCGAAGGCAGGUCUCUGGGCCGAUACUGACGCUGAGGAGCGAAAGCGUGGGGAGCGAACAGG
rnacentral:rRNA from 1 species